AUGCCACCAAGCUAAGAGCAUCAUCACCUCCAUCAUCAUCAUCAUCAUCAACAACAACAACAACAACAACAGAAAGCUGCAAGAAAUGUUUAACUGAAUUAAAACGAGUCUAAUAUCCCUGCUAUUUGCGCGACUUGUUUCGCUUCUUCCACGGGAGGAUCUCCAUCUAUCCAAACAAGCUGCUUGGAGAGGCUUGAGAAUCUUCACGCACUGAAUCGUUCAUGUGGUGCCAACGCAGGACGGACUGAAGAAGGAGUCGGGACAGCUUUUUUUCUUUUCUUCUUCUUCUUCUCUUUUCGACAAAUCCCAAACAAACUCUCACGGCUAUCCGAAGGGGCUCUUGGAGAGACGACGCGCCCUCGCUCACACUCUCAUUUCAUCUCUUUGGCUGGAAGUGUGUUGCACGCGAACUGUUUUAAUGUUUGGGAUUCAGGAAAAUAUACCAAGAGGGGGGACCACUAUGAAAGAGGAACCGCUGGGCAGUGGCAUGAAUUCGGUCCGAUCGUGGAUGCACACGGCUGGGGUGGUGGAUGCGAACACGGCCGCCCAGAGUGGAGUUGGUCUGGCACGGGCGCACUAUGAGAAACAACCGCCAUCCAACCUCAGAAAAUCCAAUUUUUUCCACUUCGUGCUGGCGCUUUAUGACAGACAGGGACAGCCAGUGGAGAUCGAAAGGACAGCUUUUGUGGACUUUGUGGAAAAGGAGAAAGAACCUAACAGUGAAAAAAACUAACAAUGGGAUACAUUACAAACUACAACUAUUGUACAGCAACGG